AUGACUUUUGAGGGUGUCUGCCAUCUGUUGGCAAAUCUUGUGGCGUACUGUAAUUCCGCUGACACUUCGUAUGAUUUUCCAGAAGAUGAGGACUUCAAUAGUGAAAUAGAAAUGAGCGACCUGAUGGAUGCAGAUAUAGGUGUUAGCUCUGGAGUAUUUGGCAAAUAUGCUCAAGGCUAUGCCACUGAGAGCCAUAUGGGGGAGAGCUCUUCGUCUCUAAUCCAUGCACCAAUCUCACUCCAUAAUUUUGAUGAAGCCAAUAUUUUCAAAGCAGAUGAUAAUCCAACUUGUCUGAGAUCAAGGUGGCAACUAGAGGCAUAUCUGAACCAGCAAGCUGACAUUCUUGAAAAGGAUCCCAGCUCGGUGCCUUUAAAUUCAUUUAACACCACUAUGACGCGGCUUCAGAAAUUAGCUCCAGAGCUUCAUCGUGUCCAGUUCUUGCAAUACUUGGAUGCUCUUUGCCAUGAUGACUAUGUUGCUUCAUUAGACCAUCUUCACCGCUAUUUUGACAGUAUCCGAGGGAUGCAAGGACUUUUCAGCCGUGAUUUGUCUCCUAACCAAGAUAUUAUUGUUGGAAAGUAUGAGAGCGGUCUACUAUGCUUAGGCAACUUGCAUUGUCAUUUUGGACAUCCAAAGAAAGCCCUAGAGGCAUUCACAGAAACAGUGUGUGUUUCUCAAAUGAACAAUGAUGAUUCGUGCCUUGCAUAUAUAUUAGGAGCCAUUUCUAACCUAUUAUCAAAGAUAGGCAUAUCAAGCACAGUUGGAAUAAUUGGUUCUCAAUAUUCACUUGGAAACAAUAUUGGACUAGCCAUGCCACUGUCCAUUCAGCAGCAGUUGCUUGUUCUUUUGAAACGAUCGCUUAAGAGAGUUGAUAUGCUGAAACUUACAAGCUUACUAUCCUUUGAUCACAUCUCUCUUGCGAAAUUUGAUCUGAAGCAUGUCCAAAGGCCGUUGGUGUCCUUUGGUCCUAAUAGUUCUACAAAGCUUAGAACUUGUCCCGCAGAUGUCUGCAAGACAUUAAGAUUAAGUUCCCACGUGUUGUCUUACUUUGGCACGGAUGACUUGUCAACUUCAAAUGAUAAUGGUUGUUUCAGCACUUCCUCGCUUAGGAAUUUGUCAGCUACUUCCAGUUCUUGGUGUAGUAGCUCAAAAAAGCCUAGAAGACUUACUGCAAAUGACUUUGACAAUUUCCACUUUCAUGCGCAACCAAGUCCAAUACCUACAUCAGUAUUGCAAUUAUCUGGCUCAGCAUAUUUGAUGAGGGCCACUGCCUGGGAGCACUAUGGAAGUGAUCCGAUGGUUUGA
rnacentral:rRNA from 1 species